GGGGCUGCCCGGUUUUGACAGCAUAGAUCUUUGAAAGUAUAAGCAUGCAGUGCGUUGUGUAAUUAGCACUUAAAUCUGAAUACUCAAAACUCAAAUGGCAAUACACAGUAUGCCAUGGCCGCUUAAUCAGUGAUUAAGUAGUCAUUAGGGCCGCCGAACAGGUUGAUCUGUUACCAUGUUCCGCCGCCGACUCAAAAACAAAACAGGUUGCUGUAACAGAAGGCUGUGACUGUUGCAAAAGACCAUUCAGCUAAGCAUUGUAUUGGUAGGUUCAGGUCCUGUACAAUGCCGACAAACAAUCAUGAAAUAAGCAUGUAGAAAGCUUUUGGAGAAUGUGUUUGGACAGGGGUUCGAUUCCCCUCAGCUCCACUU
rnacentral:tmRNA from 1 species